rnacentral:rRNA from 1 species
UACGGGAGGGUGCAAGCGUUAUCCGGAUUCACUGGGUUUAAAGGGUGCGUAGGCGGAUAGGUAAGUCCGUGGUGAAAUCCUGCAGCUUAACUGCAGAACUGCCGUGGAUACUAUCUAUCUUGAAUGUCGUGGAGGUUAACGGAAUAUGUCAUGUAGCGGUGAAAUGCUUAGAUAUGACAUAGAACACCCAUUGCGAAGGCAGCUAAUACGCGAUAAUUGACGCUGAUGCACGAAAGCGUGGGGAUCAAACAGG